GAUGAAGAACGUAGCGAAAUGCGAUAAGUAAUGUGAAUUGCAGAAUUCAGUGAAUCAUCGAAUCUUUGAACGCACAUUGCGCCCGCCAGUAUUCUGGCGGGCAUGCCUGUUCGAGCGUCAUUUCAACCAUCAAGCCCUGCUUGCGUUGGGGUCCUGCGGCUGCCCGCAGGCCCUGAAAACCAGUGGCGGGCUCGCUAGUCACACCGAGCGCAGUAAUACAUCUCGCUUUGGGCGUGCGGCGGGUUCUUGCCGUUAAACACCCCCUUUUUAACAAGGUUGACCUCGGAUCAGGUAGGAAUACCCGCUGAACUUAAGCAUAUCAAUAAGCGGAGGA
rnacentral:misc_RNA from 1 species